GGAGGAGGAGGGGGCUGAGUGAGAUAAGGGGAUGAACUGCGCCUCGCCUGUAAAGUAGAGGAGAGCAGGCGGCAUCAGCCAGGGGGCGGUGACAAAAAUCCACUCUCAAAUCGGACAGUUUCCAGCAGAUUCCUGCAGCCUUCAUGCUGAACAGGAAGUGACAGAAUCACUGUGGUCCGAUUCCGAUUUGAUAAAAUGUUAUCAGACCCAUACA